CUACGUAGCUCAGAGUUUGAUCCUGGCUCAGGAUUAACGCUGGCGGCGUGCAUAACACAUUCAAGUCGAACGGAGUAUAGAAAUAUACUUAGUGGCGGACGGGUGAGUAACGCGUGAGCAAUCUACCUUCCAGUGAGGGAUAACAACCGGAAACAGUUGCUAAUACCUCAUGAAAUAGCAGCAUCGCAUGGUGCAACUAUCAAAGAUUUAUUGCUGGAAGAUGAGCUUGCGUCUGAUUAGAUAGUAGGCGGGGUAGCGGCCCACCUAGUCGACGAUCGGUAGCCGGACUGAGAGGUUGAACGGCCACAUUGGAACUGAGAUACGGUCCAG
rnacentral:rRNA from 1 species